rnacentral:tRNA from 1 species
GCCCUGGUGGUGCAGCAGUUACAUGUUCGGCUGCUAACUGCAAGGUUGGUGGUUCAAGCCCACCCAGUGGCU